rnacentral:rRNA from 1 species
UACAGAGGGUGCGAGCGUUAAUCGGAAUUACUGGGCGUAAAGCGCACGUAGGUGGCGACGUAAGUCGGGUGUGAAAGCCCCGGGCUCAACCUGGGAAUUGCAUUCGAGACUGCAUUGCUGGAGUACGGAAGAGGAGGGCGGAAUUCUCGGUGUAGCGGUGAAAUGCGUAGAUAUCGGGAGUAACAUCAGUCGCGAAGGUGGCCCUCUUUUCCAGUACUUACACUCAAGUGCCAAAGCGUCGGGAUCAAUCAGG